AGGACGAACGCUGGCGGCGUGCUUAACACAUGCAAGUCGAGCGAGGCCCUCUCUUCGGAGAGGUGCCCUAGCGGCGAACGGGUGAGUAACACGUGGGCAACCUGCCCCUAGCACUGGGAUAAGCCCGGGAAACCGGGUCUAAUACCGGAUAUGACCUUCAAGGGCAUCCUCGAAGGUGUAAAGGAUUCUGGCUAGGGAUGGGCCCGCGGCCUAUCAGCUUGUUGGUGGGGUAAUGGCCCACCAAGGCAACGACGGGUA
rnacentral:rRNA from 1 species